rnacentral:lncRNA from 1 species
CAAGGCAAAACCACUCAGAUUGAGCAGUGAGGUACAGGGACGUCUGGUGACCCACCAGAGGAAUGGCACCCACUCAUAAUGAGCAGUGGGGUACAGGGACGUCUAGUGACCCACCAGAGGAAUGACACUCACUCAGAAUGAGCAGUGGGGUACAGGGAUGUCUAGUGACCCACCAGAGGAAUGACACCCACUCAGAAUUACAGUGGGGUAUAGGGACGUCUAGUGACCCACCAGAGGAAUGACACUCACUCAUAAUGAGCAGUGAGGUACAGGGACGUCUAGUGACCCACCAGAGGAAUGACACUCACUCAUAAUGAGCAGUGGGGUACAGGGACAUCUAGUGACCCACCAGAGGAAUGACACUCACUCAUAAUGAGCAGUGAGGUACAGGGACGUCUAGUGACCCACCAGAGGAAUGACACUCACUCAUAAUGAGCAGUGAGGUACAGGGACGUCUAGUGACCCACCAGAGGAAUGACACUCACUCAUAAUGAGCAGUGAGGUACAGGGACGUCUAGUGACCCACCAGAGGAAUGACACUCACUCAGAAUGAGCAGUGGGGUACAGGGACGUCUAGUGACCCACCAGAGGAAUGACUCCCACUCAUAAUGAGCAGUGAGGUACAGGGACGUCUAGUGACCCACCAGAGGAAUGACACUCACUCAGAAUGAGCAGUGGGGUACAGGGACGUCUAGUGACCCACCAGAGGAAUGAGACUCCCACUCAUAAUGAGCAGUGAGGUACAGGAACAUCUAGUGACCCACCAGAGGAAUGACACUCACUCAUAAUGAGCAGUGAGGUACAGGGACGUCCAGUGACCCACCAGAGGAAUGACACUCACUCAGAAUGAGCAGUGGGGUACAGGGACGUCUAGUGACCCACCAAAGGAAUUACACUCAUAAUGAGCAGUGAGGUACAGGGACAUCUGGUGACCAGCCAGAGGAAUGACACUCACUCAGAAUGAGCAGUGGGGUACAGGGACAUCUGGUGACCCGCCAGAGGAAUGACACUCACUCAGAAUGAGCAGUGGGGUACAGGGACGUCUAGUGACCCACCAGAGGAAUGACACCCACUCAGAAUUAGCAGUGAGGUACAGGGACAUCUAGUGACCCACCAAAGGAAUGACACUCAGAAUGAGCAGUGAGUUACAGGGACAUCUGGUGACCCACCAGAGGAAUGACACCCACUCAGAAUGAGCAGUGGGGUACAGGGACGUCUGGUGACCCACCAGAGGAAUGACACCC